UAAAAGUUUGGUCCUAGCUUUAUUAUCAAGUAUAUCUCAACUUACACAUGCAAGUCUCAGCACACCAGUGAGGACGCCCUUAACCUCUUCCACAGACAAAGGAGCUGACAUCAGGCACAGAACCCUUGCCCACAACGUCUAGUCCCGCCACACCCACAAGGGUAUUCAGCAGUGAUAAAAAUUGUCUAUAAGCGUUAGCUUGAAUCAGUCAGAGAAAAGAGGGCCGGCUAAUCUGGUGCCAGCCGCCGCGGCUACACCAUGAGGCCCAAAUUGAUAAUUACCGGCGUUAAGUGUGGUUAAAGUUAUAAAUCUUUAGGAUUAAAUUAACGCAAAGUCGUGAAAAACUAGCUAUUCAGAAAACCAUAAACGAAAGUUAUCCUAACCAACUUGAACCCACGAAAGCUGGAACCACAAACUGGGAUCAGAUACCCCACUAUGCCCAGCUGUAAAAAAUCAAUUUACACUAAUAAGCGCCAGGGAAUUACGAGCACAAGCUUAAAACCCAAAGGAUUUGACGGUGUCCCACCCACCUAGAGGAGCCUGUUCUAUAAUCGAUAAUCCACGAUAUACCUCACCACUUCUUGCUUUUCAGCCUGUAUACCUCCGUCGUAAGCCUACCGCUUGAGCGCUAUAAAGUAGGCCCAACAGCCCACCCCGCCAGUACGUCAGGUCAAGGUGCAGCCCAUGAAGUGGGAAGAAAUGGGCUACAAUUUCUAAUACAGAACAAACGAAACACUACAUGAAACAUAGUCAUGAAGGCGGAUUUAGCAGUAAAAGAAGAAAGUAUACUUCUUUUAACAAGGCCCUGGGACGUGUACAAACCGCCCGUCACCCUCUUCAACAGCAUACACCCCUAGUUAUUAACUCCACCUAGCACCUUAGAAGAGGCAAGUCGUAACAUGGUAAGUGUACUGGAAAGUGCACUUGGCAAA
rnacentral:ncRNA from 1 species